rnacentral:rRNA from 1 species
CAAUGGGAUGCGAAUCUCGAAAGACCUGUCUCAGUUCGGAUUGGAGGCUGAAACCCGCCUCCAUGAAGUUGGAUUCGCUAGUAAUCGCGCAUCAGCCAUGGCGCGGUGAAUACGUUCCCGGGCCUUGUACACACCGCCCGUCAAGCCAUGGGAGCCGGGGGUGCCUGAAGUUCGUGACCGCAAGGAGCGACCUAGGGCAAAACUGGUGACUGGGGCUAAGUCGUAACAAGGUAUC